AGGCUCGUAGCUCAGUUGGUUAGAGCACCACCUUGACAUGUGGGGGUCGUUGGUUCGAAUCCAAUCGAGCCUACCA
rnacentral:tRNA from 1 species